UAAGAAGGAUUUUAAAGUUAUUGAACCCUAAGCUUUCAAACUUCUGAUUUCAUACUUAUCUCUAUUUCCAUUUGCUCCCACUUUUUGUAAUUAGGUGUCAUGGUUGGUGAUGCGAUGACGGUUUGAAUCUGAUUUGCUUUUUCAGGUGACAAAUAUUGAUCUUUUUGCUCUUUGUUUCCGAUACGUUCAUGUGUUCCUCCAAUCUCAACGUUUUUUUUCUUUUUCUAUACUUUCUUUUUAUUUAUAUGUAAUACAUAUGCUUUCCUGUUUUUAGGUAUGUUACAGUGCACACCAAUUGUUUGUUGUAAUGUUUCACCUGUUGGAUUGUCAAUUUUAAUUAAAUUAGCUUACACAAUUGCUCAAUUUGGGACAAUAUGUCCAGAGAAGUAAUAUUUUUAUCAUGAAAUUGUUAGUUUUCACCACAAACGUAUGUAUGUGUGUGAUUGUUUAUCUGUUAUUGUAGAUAAAUGGAAGCAAUUGUAUUGAAUAUGUCAAUGAGUUUGUUGAUGUAGGAUUUUGAAACCAAUCCGAUUGCCUAAAUGGAGCGAUGUCGUAAGCCGGCCAUCAGACCGAUUUCAGGGUUCGCUUUUACGGCGGGUUAGACAUCUCCCUUAAUUGUGAUAUAUUAAUGGCUUCUAAAGAUGCUAAAUUUAUAGAUACACAUACCAGGGUUGUUGAUUUUCUAUAAAGCUUAUCAUAUAGCUACGAUUUGUUCCGAUUAGUGAUUACUAGGGAUGAGAUUUAGAAUCGGAAAACCGGACCGGAACCGGAACCGGACCCGUUAGAACCGGAAUAUAUAAAACCGGGUUCGGUUCCGGGUUUAAAAAUUGGCUUUAUCCGGGUUCCGGGUAAUCCGGGUUUGGGUCCAUUGGGUCCGGGUAAACCGGGUCUAAAAUCCGGAACCGGUUUUUGGAACCGGAACCACUUUUAGGGCCGGAACCACUUUUUGUGAAACGUUUACAAGAUGCAUAUCUUAUUCGUUUCAACUCCAAUUGACAUACGGUUUUUUCCAACAUGUAGUUUAGAGUUUGUACAUGAUUCUAGACUAUAAAUUUGUCAUUUUUAGUUUUAUAUUCAUUGACUUACAGUCCUCAAAAGUUGAGAUACCAAAGCUGAAAGUUUUUAGUUUUUUAGUUUUUUUGUAUUCGGUGAAAGUUUUAAAACAUGCAUAUCUAAUUCGUUUGAAGUCGGAUUGACAUGUGGUUUUUUCCAACUUCUAGUUUACAGUUUGUACAUGAGUUUAGACUAUAAUUUUGUCAUUUUUGGUUUAACAUUCAAUGAUUUACAGUCCUCCGAAGUCGAGAUAUCAAAACUGAAAAUUUUCAACUUUUCAGCUAUUUGUUUUUGUACUUUGUAUUAUGUGAAAAUAUUAACACAAAUAUAUCUCAUUCGUUUAAAUUCGGAUUGACAUGCAGGUUUUUCCAGAGUGUAUUUUAGAGUUUGUACAUGAUUUUAGACUCUAAUUUUGUUAAUUGUGGUUUCGUAUUCAAUAAGUUACAGCCCCCUAAAGUCGGGAUAUCAAUAUGAAAAAUUUCAAAGUUCAACCCACUAAGUAGUAAGUAAUUACCAAAAAAUUCUGGUUUUUUCGGGUUUUCCGGGUCUAAACCCACUUUAUCCGGUUCCAACCUACCCACUUUGAUGUUUCCGGGUUUUCCGGUUCUAGACCCACUUUACCCGGAACCAUACCCGGAACCGAACCGGAACCGGUUCCUAUAUACCGGUCCGGUUUCCGGUUCUAUAAAAUCCCGUUAACCGGUUCCGGGUUUUCCGGGUCCGGGUCCAUCCGGUCCGGGUUUGGACCCACUUUCAUCCCUAGUGAUUACCAUAUUGUGCUAGCCCUAAAAUUUUCUUUUACUUGAAUCUAACUGCCACUAUCAUUCUAUCAAAGUUCUCCCCUGACCUCCGCAUCACCAUUGCUGGUCGUAAUAGGUUUUGCUUUACUUCAUGAGUUAUUUGAGUCUUUUAUACAGUUUUCAUUUGUGGUCCCUUUGUGGUUGAAUGUGUUUUUAGUUAAUCGGGUGGAAUAUGAGUCAAGUUGUAAAUGUUUGCUGUUUUGUUUCCUCCAAUGUCUGUUUCUAUUCUCAAAAGAAAUUUAGUUACAUAUUUGACUUAUUACAGAUUGGAUGAGGCUAUAUUUGUUAUGAAAGAUGUGAAACGAUCAUGUUGAUCAUGUUGGUCACUGAUAAUGAGUAUAAAACUAACUGGCAUUCAAAUUUUGAAGCUCAUUUGGUUACAGCUCUAAAAUGGCAUGUUCUUAUGGACACCCAUAAUAGAUACAACUCUACAGGGAAGAACGACAUGUAAGUUACAAAAUAAUACCUUAAUGUAUAACAUAUGUCAAUCUCAUUAAAGGGAUGUUGAAACUGUUAUAGUUAUAUUUUAGAGUCUGACAUGCAACUAACAAAUCAAUUAUGGAAUGGAAUUUCUCAAAAACCUACAUAAGGUGAUUAUGUGCUUCCUUCCAAAUAGUUUAACCACACACUUUUAAUUGCUGAAAAUUUUACAAUUUGUAACUUCAUAUGUGCUGGCAGAUUACAAGAAAGAAUGCAGCAAAAGUCAACAACAUGAAUCAUUUUGAUGUCAUGCCUGAUCUGGUGAUCUGGAACAGGUGACUAUUGAAAAAGUUGACAUGAACAUACGUGGUUCUCUCAGAAAGACGCUAUUGGGACGGAUCCAAAUUUAAAAGACAAGGACAAAAAUACUCCACAUUAUGUUGAUGUGCAAGAUGAGGACAAAUCAACUCCUUCCCUUCAAGACAUGACACUACUCAAACAGUUCCCUAUUUCUCCUGUUAAGUUGUUAGGAAAGUAUGAUAAGGUGCUUGCUAUUGAUAGAAGAGCCGUGAUGUGAGACCAUAAAAAGCUUAUUGACACUUAUAUUUUGCCCUGAACUGAGAAUUCAGAUAGCUACAAAAUAAGUAGGUGCCGAAGAUAUAAUAUCUGUGGAGUUGUCAAAAAAUUCCAAUUAAAUAAAAACACAACGGAUUUUUUUCCCUAAUUGUAUUUGAGGUGUUGCAUUGUAUUACAAACGAAUACGAUCUAACCCCCGCAACGCGGGGCAUCUUUUCUAGUUAUAGAUCAAACUUGUUAUUAAAAGUCAAAAUAGUAAAUUAUAUUUUUUUGAACCAUCGACCUCAAAAUAUAUUAUAGGUCAAAAUAGUAAAUUGAAAUAAAUGAUAUUAUUGUCUAGAUUCUAGAGGAUUGAAAGAGAUGAAAAUAAGUC